GACGAACGCUGGCGGCGUGCUUAACACAUGCAAGUCGAACGGAAAGGCCCUGCUUUUGUGGGGUGCUCGAGUGGCGAACGGGUGAGUAACACGUGAGUAACCUGCCCUUGACUUUGGGAUAACUUCAGGAAACUGGGGCUAAUACCGGAUAGGAGCUCCUGCUGCAUGGUGGGGGUUGGAAAGUUUCGGCGGUUGGGGAUGGACUCGCGGCUUAUCAGCUUGUUGGUGGGGUAGUGGCUUACCAAGGCUUUGACGGGUAGCCGGCCUGAGAGGGUGACCGGCCACAUUGGGACUGAGAUACGGCCCAGACUCCUACGGGAGGCAGCAGUGGGGAAUAUUGCACAAUGGGCGGAAGCCUGAUGCAGCAACACCGCGUGCGGGAUGACGGCCUUCGGGUUGUAAACCGCUUUCGCCUGUGACGAAGCGUGAGUGACGGUAAUGGGUAAAGAAGCACCGGCUAACUACGUGCCAGCAGCCGCGGUGAUACGUAGGGUGCGAGCGUUGUCCGGAUUUAUUGGGCGUAAAGGGCUCGUAGGUGGUUGAUCGCGUCGGAAGUGUAAUCUUGGGGCUUAACCCUGAGCGUGCUUUCGAUACGGGUUGACUUGAGGAAGGUAGGGGAGAAUGGAAUUCCUGGUGGAGCGGUGGAAUGCGCAGAUAUCAGGAGGAACACCAGUGGCGAAGGCGGUUCUCUGGGCCUUUCCUGACGCUGAGGAGCGAAAGCGUGGGGAGCGAACAGGCUUAGAUACCCUGGUAGUCCACGCUGUAAACGGUGGGUACUAGGUGUGGGGUCCAUUCCACGGGUUCCGUGCCGUAGCUAACGCUUUAAGUACCCCGCCUGGGGAGUACGGCCGCAAGGCUAAAACUCAAAGGAAUUGACGGGGCCCCGCACAAGCGGCGGAGCAUGCGGAUUAAUUCGAUGCAACGCGUAGAACCUUACCUGGGUUUGACAUGGAUCGGGAGUGCUCAGAGAUGGGUGUGCCUCUUUUGGGGUCGGUUCACAGGUGGUGCAUGCCUGUCGUCAGCUCGUGUCGUGAGAUGUUGGGUUAAGUCCCGCAACGAGCGCAACCCUUGUUCACUGUUGCCAGCACGUUAUGGUGGGGACUCAGUGGAGACCGCCGGGGUCAACUCGGAGGAAGGUGGGGAUGACGUCAAGUCCUCAUGCCCCUUAUGUCCAGGGCUUCACGCAUGCUACAAUGGCUGGUACAGAGAGUGGCGAGCCUGUGAGGGUGAGCGAAUCUCGGAAAGCCGGUCUCAGUUCGGAUUGGGGUCUGCAACUCGACCUCAUGAAGUCGGAGUCGCUAGUAAUCGCAGAUCAGCAACGCUGCGGUGAAUAAGUUCCCGGG
rnacentral:rRNA from 1 species